GGCUUAAUGGUCUAGCGGUAUGAUUCCUGCUUUGGGUUUAUCACUCUUGCAGGAGGUCCCGGGUUCAAUCCCCGGUUGAGCCC
rnacentral:tRNA from 3 species